rnacentral:rRNA from 1 species
CCUACGGGGGGCAGCAGUGGGGAAUAUUGGACAAUGGGGGGAACCCUGAUCCAGCCAUGCCGCGUGUGUGAAGAAGGCCCUCGGGUUGUAAAGCACUUUCAGUGAGGAAGAACGCCUGGUGGUUAAUACCCAUCAGGAAAGACAUCACUCACAGAAGAAGCACCGGCUAACUCCGUGCCAGCAGCCGCGGUAAUACGGAGGGUGCGAGCGUUAAUCGGAAUUACUGGGCGUAAAGCGCGCGUAGGUGGCUUGAUAAGCCGGUUGUGAAAGCCCCGGGCUCAACCUGGGAACGGCAUCCGGAACUGUCAAGCUAGAGUGCAGGCGAGGAAGGUGGAAUUCCCGGUGUAGCGGUGAAAUGCGUAGAGAUCGGGAGGAAUACCAGUGGCGAAGGCGGCCUUCUGGACUGACACUGACACUGAGGUGCGAAAGCGUGGGUAGCAAACAGGAUUAGAUAACCGUGUAGUC